GCCGUGAUUAAAUAGCCCUGAAUGCGGGCCCGAUUUUGUCAGAUCUCGGCAGCUAAGCAAGAGCGAGCCUGGUUAUGACUUGGAUGGGCGACCACCAUGCGUAACAGAUUGCUAUAGGCC
rnacentral:rRNA from 1 species